CCUCCCUAGGUCACGCCAAUCUCCCCGCGAAGCCACAUCUUCCGCGGAGGCUCCGUUAGGUCAGCCAGUCCCGGCCACUGCGGGGCCCACAGUCCCCAAGCAGGCCCUCGGGUGGCGGGCGAGAAAGAAAGCCGCUCCUCCCAGGUUGUUUCCCACGGACGCAGCAGGGAAAGAGGCCUCAGGGUCCCCCUUCCCAGGCCGGAAUCUGAAGCCAGAAAACCUGUGCUGCCCACCCUCAAUGGUGGUCUGGGGAAGGGUUUCCACCGGCUUCACAGGGAAGAAGUGGCUUCGACGUAGUGUUGGACAAGAUAGGAGUGGGGCUUAGGCCACCUCUAGCCCACGGAUGCCAAGAUGAUAUCUACUGGCAGCUCCUCUGAGCUUCUGGCUGUCACCUGCAUCGUCACUGUGUCCAAAAGCAGAAGCCGAGAACGCACAAGGAUGUCAUGACCACCCCGGAAUACUCCGCUCACUCAGCAGAUACCUGCCACUGUGGGGACAUGGUGGGCUUCAGGACACAGAGCAAGCCCGAGGUACACAAUGUAAGUGGCACUGCUUCAACCGACAAGUCAUUUCUCCAGCAGAUUCUGUACUUCAACUGUGUCCUCCAGGCCCAAAAUAGGCGGAACCCUAUUGUCAUCUCAGCUGUGAAUGUGACAUAACACUCCCAUUCAGCCAGCCUGCACUAGCAGCGUCCAUGCAAGGACUCCUUUGUUCAUUCUUCCAACAGAUCUUCACAGAAACCUGUUCUUGCAGAUGUUUACAGGGCAUACAGCAACCAGUGAAAGGCGCGCCCUAGCUAUAGCUCCUGAGAGGAGAGGUCUUAAGGCAGUUCCUGCCUCAGUCAUUUUGGCUCAGGAAUGGCCGUCUCUACUUUGGUCCUUAUUCUACACAAGUGUGAAUGUCAGAUGCAUGCUAGUGACUAAGGAACUGUGGCCCAGCAGAGCAAAGGGGCCUAGCUAUCUAGAAAGCAACAUUACAAGAGCAAUUCACGUCUUAAAAAUCUUGCUUUCCUUUUGAGCCAAUUAAAGAAUUAUCCUAAGAAAAUAAUCAGAAAUGUGCUGGGCAUGGAAGUGCGUGCCUUUAAUACCAGAACUCAGGAGGCAAAGGCAGGCACAUCUUCAAAGUGAGUCCAGGACAGCCAGGGUUCUGUUAUACAGAAAAACCCUGUCUCGAAUCGCCCCACCGGUAUGGUGGUACAUACUUAGGAUUCCAGCACACAGAAGGCUGAAGCAGUACGGUUUCAAGUAUGAACCAGCUUGGCUAUAGAAUAAGACCCUAUCUCAAAAAAUAAAAACAAAAAACUCUUAAG
rnacentral:lncRNA from 1 species